rnacentral:rRNA from 1 species
AACGUAGGAGACAAACGUUAUCCGGAGUUACUGGGCGUAAAGGGCGUGCAGGUGGUCUGUUAAGUCUGGCGUGAAAGCUCUCGGCUAAACCGGGAGAGGUCGUUGGAUACUGGCGGACUAGAGGACGGUAGAGGCGUGUGGAAUUCCGGGUGUAGUGGUGAAAUGCGUAGAUAUGAUGUAGAACACCGAUUGCGAAGGCAGCUCACUAAGCAGACAUUGACGCUGAGGCACGAAAGCGUGGGGAUCAAACAGG